CGCGGUAAUACGUAGGUGGCAAGCGUUAUCCGGAAUUAUUGGGCGUAAAGCGCGCGUAGGCGGUUUUUUAAGUCUGAUGUGAAAGCCCACGGCUCAACCGUGGAGGGUCAUUGGAAACUGGAAAACUUGAGUGCAGAAGAGGAAAGUGGAAUUCCAUGUGUAGCGGUGAAAUGCGCAGAGAUAUGGAGGAACACCAGUGGCGAAGGCGACUUUCUGGUCUGUAACUGACGCUGAUGUGCGAAAGCGUGGGGAUCAAACAGGAUUAGAUACCCUGGUAGUCCACGCCGUAAACGA
rnacentral:rRNA from 1 species